rnacentral:rRNA from 1 species
UACGAAGGGGGCGAGCGUUGUUCGGAUUUACUGGGCGUAAAGGGCGCGCAGGCGGCUAUCCAAGUCAGGCGUGAAAGCCCCGGGCUUAACCUGGGAGGUGCGUCUGGGACUGGGUGGCUAGAGUUCGGGAGAGGGAUGCGGAAUUCCAGGUGUAGCGGUGAAAUGCGUAGAUAUCUGGAGGAACACCGGUGGCGAAGGCGGCAUCCUGGACCGACACUGACGCUGAGGAGCGAAAGCCAGGGGAGCAAACGGG